rnacentral:rRNA from 1 species
GAUGAACGCUGGCGGCGUGCCUAAUACAUGCAAGUCGAGCGAACGGACGAGAAGCUUGCUUUUCUGAUGUUAGCGGCGGACGGGUGAGUAACACGUGGAUAACCUACCUAUAAGACUGGUAUAACUUCGGGAAACCGGAGCUAAUACCGGAUAAUAUUUUGAACCGCAUUGUUCAAAAGUGAAAGACGGUCGUGCUGUCACUUAUAGAUGGAUCCGCGCUGCAUUAGCUAGUUGGUAAGUUAACGGCUUACCAAGGCAACGAGGCAUAGCCGACCUGAGAGGCGGAUCGGCCACACUGGAAGUGAGACACGGUCCAGACUCCUGCGGGAGGCAGCAGUAGGGAAUCUUCCGCAAUGGGCGAAAGCAUGACGGAGCAACGCCGCGUGAGUGAUGACGGUCUUCGGAUCGUAAAACUCUGUUAUUAGGGAAGAACAUAUGUGUAAGUAAAUGUGCACAUCUUGACGGUAACUAAUCAGAAAGCCACGGCUAACUACGUG